CUGUUACCUAUCUGGGCAUAAUUCUCAUAAAAACACAGGUGCUCUCCCUGCUGAUCAUGUCCGAAUAAUCUCCCAAACCUCAAUCCCUUACAAAACAACAACUCCUUUCCUUCCUAGGCAUGGUUAGCGUGGUCGGAAUUCUUACACAAUAGCCAGGACCACACCGUGUAGCCUUUCUGUCCAAACAACUUGACCUUACUG
rnacentral:lncRNA from 1 species